AAGGCUUUAGUUUAAUAAAAGUGUCUGAGUUGCAUUCAGGAGAUGUGGGUUAGUAUCCUGCAGGUCUUA
rnacentral:tRNA from 1 species